rnacentral:lncRNA from 1 species
ACCAAAACAGAGUACACACAAUACUGACUUUGGAAUUCGCACUCAGAUACUGUAGUGGAUUGAUAACUGGUGGUCAACUUAUAUCCCCCAGCUGAACUGAGACAGGAAAGGAAGGGAAGCAGACUACAAAGCAUCAUCUGCACACUCCUGGCUGAUAAGUAUGCUUGGGCUUCUGACUCAGAAUUUUG